ACUUGUACCGACUGGAUGAGCAGCGAACGGGUGAGUAACGCGUGGGGAAUCUGCCUUUGAGCGGGGGACAACAUUUGGAAACGAAUGCUAAUACCGCAUAAAAACUUUAAACACAAGUUUUAAGUUUGAAAGAUGCAAUUGCAUCACUCAAAGAUGAUCCCGCGUUGUAUUAGCUAGUUGGUGAGGUAAAGGCUCACCAAGGCGAUGAUACAUAGCCGACCUGAGAGGGUGAUCGGCCACAUUGGGACUGAGACACGGCCCAAACUCCUACGGGAGGCAGCAGUAGGGAAUCUUCGGCAAUGGACGAAAGUCUGACCGAGCAACGCCGCGUGAGUGAAGAAGGUUUUCGGAUCGUAAAACUCUGUUGGUAGAGAAGAACGUUGGUGAGAGUGGAAAGCUCAUCAAGUGACGGUAACUACCCAGAAAGGGACGGCUAACUACGUGCCAGCAGCCGCGGUAAUACGUAGGUCCCGAGCGUUGUCCGGAUUUAUUGGGCGUAAAGCGAGCGCAGGUGGUUUAUUAAGUCUGGUGUAAAAGGCAGUGGCUCAACCAUUGUAUGCAUUGGAAACUGGUAGACUUGAGUGCAGGAGAGGAGAGUGGAAUUCCAUGUGGUAGCGGGUG
rnacentral:rRNA from 1 species